UUCUGCGUAGUGAGCAGAGCUUUGCCUC
rnacentral:sRNA from 1 species